rnacentral:lncRNA from 1 species
UUGUUUGGUUGGUUUUUGGUUUUUGGUUUUUGUUUUACAUAUUAAUACCAACCGUCAAACAUUCAUAGAACUGAGUCAGCCUCCACCCAAGCCUCCACCCAAGACCCAUGGGCAGGAAUAAGCAGUCUGUGUGAUACAUUAGCACAACAUUUUUGUUGAACAUUUUCACAGGUGAGGAGAGUCUCUGGAGACUCAGGACCUGACCUAGCAGUCCGCAGAGCCUGCAGGCACAGGCCACAGCUACAGCACAGGAAGGAGCACAGAACCGUAAUGUAGCAAGCUAAAGCAAAAAGCCGAAGGAUGAGUGGCUUUACCCACAGAGGGUCACUGUCCGACCAUUGGAGGCCUGGAAUUCCAAGACCAAGGUGUCAGCAGAAUCUGUUUCUCCUGGGACCACUCUGCUUGGCUGCCUUUCCCAUAUGUGUGUGUCUUGACCUCCCCUUUUAAGGACACCGGUCAUAGUGAAUCAUGGCCCGCCCAAAUAAACUCCUGU